AACGCGAAGAACCUUACCUGGGCUUGAACCGCACAGGACCAGCUUGAGAUAUCAGUUCCCUUGUGGUCUGUGUGCAGGUGGUGCAUGGCUGUCGUCAGCUCGUGUCGUGAGAUGUUGGGUUAAGUCCCGCAACGAGCGCAACCCUUGUCUCAUGUUGCCAGCGGGUAAUGCCGGGGACUCGUGAGAGACUGCCGGGGUCAACUCGGAGGAAGGUGGGGAUGACGUCAAGUCAUCAUGCCCCUUAUGUCCAGGGCUUCACACAUGCUACAAUGGCCGGUACAAAGGGCUGCGAUGCCGUGAGGUUAAGCGAAUCCUUUAAAGCCGGUCUCAGUUCGGAUCGGGGUCUGCAACUCGACCCCGUGAAGUCGGAGUCGCUAGUAAUCGCAGAUCAGCAACGCUGCGGUGAAUACGUUCCCGGGCCUUGUACACACCGUAGAGAC
rnacentral:rRNA from 1 species